rnacentral:rRNA from 1 species
GACGAACGCUGGCGGCGCGCUUAACACAUGCAAGUCGAGCGAAGCGGCGGACGGAUGAGUAACACGUGAGUAACCUGCCUUAGACAUUGGGAUAGCCUCGGGAAACCGGGAUUAAUACCAAAUGGUCUAAGAUGGACUCGCGUCCCAUUAGCUAGUUGGUGGGUAACGGCCCACCAAGGGGACGAUGGGUAGCCGGCCGGAGAGGGUGAACGGCCACAUUGGAACUGAGCAACGGUCCAAACUCGACGGGAGGGAGCAGUGGGGAAUAUUGCACAAUGGAGGGAACGCUGAUGCAGCGACGCCGCGUGAACGAAGAAGGCUGUCGAGUCGUAAAGUUCUUUUAUAUGGGAAGCGUUACCGACAGAAGAAGCACCGGCUAACUCCGUGCCAGCAGCCGCGGUAAUUC